rnacentral:rRNA from 1 species
UAAGGAAUAUUGGACAAUGGUCGCAAGACUGAUCCAGCCAUGCCGCGUGCAGGAAGACGGCCCUAUGGGUUGUAAACUGCUUUUGUACCAGAGAAAACCUAUCUACGUGUAGAUAGCUGAUAGUAUGGUAAGAAUAAGCAUCGGCUAACUUCGUGCCAGCAGCCGCGGUCAGACGAAGGAUGCAAGCGUUAUCCGGAUUCAUUGGGUUUAAAGGGUGCGUAGGCGGGCUUGUAAGUCAGUGGUGAAAUCUCUCAGCUUAACUGAGAAACUGCCAUUGAUACUGCAGGCCUAGAGUAUAGAUGACGUUGGCGGAAUAUGACAUGUAGUGGUGAAAUACUUAGAUAUGUCAUAGAACACCGAUUGCGAAGGCAGCUAACGAAACUAUAACUGACGCUGAGGCACGAAAGUGCGGGGAUCAAACA